rnacentral:pre_miRNA from 1 species
UUUCUCCUAACUUUGAGAGCAUGGGUAACUUCUAUUUUUUUGGCGCUGUCCCCUUCUCCAUCAUCUUUACUUCAACCUUUAAACUUCCUUUUUCAACUAUUAAAAUUCCUGACUAUGUUGAGGAAAUUAAGAAAAUGGGUUUGUUGCCGAUGCCAGCAGAAUAGAAGCUCCCCAUGUUCUCACCGUUAGC